rnacentral:rRNA from 1 species
GGCUACCUACGGGGCGCAGCAGUGAGGAAUAUUGGUCAAUGGGCGGGAGCCUGAACCAGCCAAGCCGCGUGAGGGAAGAAGGUACAGCGUAUCGUAAACCUCUUUUGUCAGGGAACAAAGGCGGGGACUAGUCCCCGGAUGAGGGUACCUGAAGAAAAAGCAUCGGCUAACUCCGUGCCAGCAGCUGCGGUAAUACGGAGGAUGCGAGCGUUAUCCGGAUUUAUUGGGUUUAAAGGGUGCGCAGGCGGCCUGUUAAGUCAGCGGUAAAACCCCGGGUCUCAACCCCGGCGAGCCGUUGCAACUGG